AAUCAACGCUGGCGGCGUGCCUAACACAUGCAAGUCGAACGAGAAAGUCCCGCAAGGGAUGAGUACAGCGGCGUACGGGUGAGUAACACGUGGGUAACCUGCCCUCGGCACCGGGAUAGCCCGAGGAAACUCGGAUUAAUACCGGACAGCCUCAUCGGCUCUCGGGCGGAUGAGAAAAGGUGGCUUCGGCUUCCGGCUGAGGAUGGGCCCGCGGCCGAUUAGCUUGUUGGUGAGGUAAUGGCUCACCAAGGCUCCGAUCGGUAGCUGGUCUGAGAGGACGAUCAGCCACACUGGGACUGAGACACGGCCCAGACUCCUACGGGAGGCAGCAGUGGGGAAUCUUGCGCAAUGGGCGAAAGCCUGACGCAGCGACGCCGCGUGCGGGAAGAAGGCCUUCGGGUUGUAAACCGCUUUCAGGAGGGACGAGGCCACUCGGGUUAAUAGCCCAGAGGGUGACGGUACCUCCAGAAGAAGCCCCGGCUAACUACGUGCCAGCCGCCGCCGUAAGAC
rnacentral:rRNA from 1 species